rnacentral:lncRNA from 1 species
ACCAAAAAUUGGGAUAAAUUGGUUGGAUUCGAUGAAGAUGAAUGAAAACUGGAGACAGAUGCAUCUUUAAACAAAUUGCCUUUGCAGAUUUAUUCAGACAGUUCUGAUGAAGUGAAACAGCCCAUGACCAAGGUAUUUAGGGAGUCUGGUGGCAUUGUUUUGAGUAUUUACUAGUCCAAAGUACUUAAAAAGAAAGUUGAACUCAAUGCUCCUGCUCAUAUGAAAUGGAAAAAA